AGUUCGGACCGCAGUCUGCAACUCGACUGCGUGAAGGUGGAGUCGCUAGUAAUCGCGGAUCAGCAUGCCGCGGUGAAUACGUUCCCGGGCCUUGUACACACCGCCCGUCACACCAUGGGAGCCGGUAAUACCCGAAGUCAGUAGUCCAACCACGUGAGGACGCUGCCGAAGGUAGGAUUGGCGACUGGGGUGAAGUCGUAACAAGGUAUC
rnacentral:rRNA from 1 species